GAGUUUGAUCCUGGCUCAGAACGAACGCUGGCGGCGCGCCUAAUACAUGCAAGUCGAGCGAGAAGGUGUAGCAAUACACUUGUAAAGCGGCGAACGGGUGAGGAAUACAUGGGUAAUCUACCAUCGAGUGGGGAAUAACCAGCCGAAAGGUUGGCUAAUACCGCGUACGCCUCCGGAUCUUCGGGUUCGGAGGGAAAGCCGCACUGUGAGUGCGGCGCUCUUUGAUGAGCUCAUGUCCUAUCAGCUUGUUGGUAGGGUAACGGCCUACCAAGGCUUUGACGGGUAGCUGGUCUGAGAGGACGAUCAGCCACACUGGCACUGCGACACGGGCCAGACUCCUACGGAAGGCAGCAGUAAGGAAUAUUGCGCAAUGGGCGAAAGCCUGACGCAGCGACGCCGCGUGGGGGAUGAAGGUCUUCGGAUUGUAAACCCCUUUCGGGAGGGAAGAUGGAGCGAGCAAUCGUUCGGACGGUACCUCCAGAAGCAGCCACGGCCAACUUCGUGCCAGCAGCCGCGGUAAUUCC
rnacentral:rRNA from 1 species